rnacentral:rRNA from 1 species
UUNUGAACUGGGUAGCUAGAGUAUGUCAGAGGGGGGUAGAAUUCCACGUGUAGCAGUGAAAUGCGUAGAGAUGUGGAGGAAUACCGAUGGCGAAGGCAGCCCCCUGGGAUAAUACUGACGUUCAUGCUCGAAAGCGUGGGUAGCAAACAGGAUUAGAUACCCUGGUAGUCCACGCCCUAAACGAUGUCGAUUAGCUGUUGGGCAACUUGAUUGCUUAGUAGCGUAGCUAACGCGUGAAAUCGACCGCCUGGGGAGUACGGUCGCAAGAUUAAAACUCAAAGGAAUUGACGGGGACCCGCACAAGCGGUGGAUGAUGUGGAUUAAUUCGAUGCAUCGCGAAGAACCUUACCUGGUCUUGACAUGUACGGAAGAACUCAGAGACGAGUUUGUGCCUUCGGGAACUGUAACACAGGUGCUGCAUGGCUGUCGUCAGCUCGUGUCGUGAGAUGUUGGGUUAAGUCCCGCAACGAGCGCAACCCUUGUCAUUAGUUGCCAUCAUUUAGUUGGGCACUCUAAUGGGACUGCCGGUGACAAACCGGAGGAAGGUGGGGAUGACGUCAAGUCCUCAUGGCCCUUAUGACCAGGGCUUCACACGUCAUACAAUGGUCGGUACAGAGGGUAGCCAAGCCGCGAGGUGGAGCCAAUCCCAGAAAACCGAUCGUAGUCCGGAUUGCACUCUGCAACUCGAGUGCAUGAAGUCGGAAUCGCUAGUAAUCGCAGGUCAGCAUACUGCGGUGAAUACGUUCCCGGGUCUUGUACACACCGCCCGUCACACCAUGGGAGUGGGGGAUACCAGAAG